GGGACCGGGACGCAACAGUCGCUCAGCAGAGUUCGUGCUGGAAGUAUCGUGGGAGGUAUGGUUUCGCGCCUUUGUGACAUUUCAUGACUUGAACCCGGGAUACCUGUUUACGAGCGACAGCCGAGAAGAAUAGUGUCGAAUCCAGUUAUCUGGGAUAUAUGUAAAAGAGGAGCAAAAAGAUGGAGUCAAUAGGAGAACCGUCGGCAUAAUAGACGAACUAGGGGUCAUCCGAUGUUUUUGGAAUACUUGUACCUGCUACUGAAAGAAACUUUAUCAUAUACUCAAGAUGACGAUAACGGCGUCUACGGAGAGGAUGGACACGACGAAGGAUCUUCCGAAGAAGAAAUUUAUCAAUACUAAUCUCUUGUCACUGAAGCUUUUGUUAUUCAUAUUUUUUGGUGGAAUGGGUUGCCUCUUCCCCUUUCUUCCUCUGCAUAUGACAGAAAAGGGACUGAGCAUCGAGCAAAUACGACUGAUCUCGAUGAUAUCACCAGCAAUUGCGAUACUAGGACCAUUGAUCGCCGCUCCAGUCGCGGACAAGUUGGCUGGUCAUCAAGGAAGAAACGACAAAUCGUCAACUGGUCGUUAUCUCAGGGUGAUGAUCGCCAUUGCUUGCCUUCUAUCUGCUCUCUUCUACUUUUUUCUACUGUUUAUACCCAGCGUGGAUGUGAUCGAGCCACCGAGGGAAAGGAGACCAGCGUUAAAGUUUAAUUGCGACCAAACAGGGGCUGUAGUACUUCAAGAAAGAUGCAAAGAUCAGUUAACUUGUCACAAAUGGUCCGACGACACCAGAGCUGGUCCGUUGCUCCUGGAGAGUUGCAAUUAUGCUUGUUAUCCUGUAGGUUCGAAACGGUGGCACUCUGACGAAAACGACGGCUCUCCUGUAUAUGGGACCACUGAUUCUGUUAUGGGCGUUCUUGAUGGUAGCGGCGAGACGACCGUGAUACCUCUUGAAACCGAAAUGUACGCCCAGGAGCAAGAAGAAUUGAAGAAGAUAAAGAGAUUUGUAACACAUGACAGCGAGCCUCCUCAUUUAUGCUUCAAAGAAGGUGACAACGUUGUCUGCCACGUUUACACCGAGUACUCAGAUAGUUUAGCUCUAAAUGCCACUCUAAAACAAGCAUUGAACAACGAGAGCGAUCAAGAAUGGUGUGCAUAUCCUUUGGCUGAGUACUUUGCAUGUCGUAUACCCCCAGAAUUAGAAGCCAGAAUGGCUGAAGUCGAUCAGAGCUGUUUCAUAGAAUGCGACUUGGUUGAUCCUUAUACUCUUCCAGACAGCGUCCUUGUAGAGAGCCAAUGCCAACAAAGAGAGGACUGGUCUGAAUUAGUAUUCUGGACUUAUUUAGCCAUUCGAUCAACUGCUGACAUUUUUCCAACAACAGCAGUGGCUCUGAUUGAUGCUGCAGUCGUGAUAGCCACCAGAGAAACAUCCUGUGGUCGUGGAGACGUGGGUCGUCAGUUGGCCUUUGGUUCACUUGGUUUUGCUAUCUUUGGCUCCUUAACCGGUUAUUUAUGCACCUUGAUUCAACAUUUCAAUUCCUUCUGUUAUUUGCCAAUUUGUAUGCACUCUGUAAUGAUGUUGCUGGCUGCUCUGGUGGCACUUUGCGCGAAUGGCAUGCCUCUCAGUCCACCAGAAUGGUGGUGGCAUACCAGAAGCGGCAUGCUGGCGCUUCCCAUGAGUGCUAUCAAGAGGUACGGCAGCGAAACUGCAGCGCUGGUAAUUGUACUGAUUGUCAUGGGAACAUUUUGGAGCGCCAUGGACAGCUAUCUACCUUUACAUUUACAAAAAUUGGGAGGUGACGAAUUGCCCAUUGGAGUAGCAAUGACUGUAGGAGCAGUAGCAGCUUUUCUAUUCCUUUGGAAAUCUGAGCAUCUCGUUGACUAUUGUGGUCAUAGUAAUCUUCUUAUCACUGCCUUUACUGUAUACAUUAUUAGGUUUACUGGUCUAAGUCUGAUUGCAGAACCCUGGUGGUCUCUAAUUUCAGAGGCCUUUGAAGUUUUUACUUUAGGAAUUAUGUGGGUUACUGCCAUUCUCUAUCUUAGACAUCUCGUUCCACGUCAUUUAACUGUGACUGCUCAAGCACUACCUGUGAUUGCACAUUUCUGCGUCGGUCGAUGCAUUGGAGCUGUGAUUGGUGCUUACAUCAAUAUUGAUAACUGUAAUAUCGUUGACUCGCUUAGAUUCGUUUAUCGUUGCAUGGCAGUUGCAGCUGCUGUUGUUGCUGCACUGUAUUUCAUCUUAUAUCAUGGCCUAUUGAAACCACGAUGUCAUGCACACAAUAUACAAGGUCCUCGACAACCGCCUACUGUUGUACAAGGUAAAGCAAUUUGUUAAUAUAUUAAUAGAAAAAAUUAACAUGCAUUAAUUUUGUUAUGCAAGCUGCCAUUAAGGAAUAUGAAUUGACAAUGAAUGGAAAUGGAAGUUACACGCCGCUCAGGGUCUACCACAACGGUAUGGGCAGAAAAGGUCAAUUUCGCUACUAAAGGGUUAGGAAAGAAAAAGGAAAAGUGUUAACGACACUAUAAAUGUUACGUUACGGUGCUAGUGAUUAGACUAUCAUUGUUAUUGCGAUUAAAAUGAAAAAUCAUCAUUGUUAUGCGACACGCGUAUGAAAGUACGUCUCUAUUGUGCAGCUUUUAGCAUUUCUCUGCAUUUUAACUGAACUUUCAUCAUAAAAUUGCCCUUUUAUACUAUCAUUGAUUUUCCUGCAUACAAACCAUUUUAAAACAUUUGUUUGCUCAGGUGUACUCUUUAGAACACACGAGCUUCUCUAUUUGUCGGUGCUGAAAAGAGAAUAAAGAAUUGAUUAGAUGGAAGUACUCAAAUCAUUAAAUGAACUUUUUUUUUUUGUUCAGUACUUUGUUUUAUUUUUUUUUUUUUUGUAUAAUCAUCUAGUUCAUCAACAAAGCACUAAUUAUUGUAGACAGUUAUGUAACUAUAUUAAUCUUUUCAUUUUAAUAUAAAAUAAAAUAAAUUAGAUCAUUGUUUUUUUUUCAUGUACAUACAAAUUCAUAAUAUUCCGAGUACUUGUAUCUAAUAUCAUUAAAAGAUGCAACAAUGUACUACUCAGUCACUAUAGCGAUAAUAAUUGUAACACAUUUGUAAUACUUUUUUAUUCUCACCACCUUUAUAUUCUUUACAAAUACACGUACGAUUUAUAACGUCGCGAAAAGCUACGAAAUCAUUUCGUAACUCUUGUUUUUGAUUCUUUGUACAUCUUGACUGCAAUCACGUAAGUGUUACGUGUUUAGAUAGUGUUUAUGAGAAAAAAAAAUUUCUAAUGACCUGUUGUACCUACCUAAAUAAUACUGAGAAAUGUUCGUCUCUUUAUGUAGGAUAAGGCUACUUGAAAAAUAAAAGGAAGUAAUAUAUUGAUUUCUGGGAUCAGUGUGUGUGUAUACGAAGAAAAGAAGAAAUAAA